rnacentral:rRNA from 1 species
UUCGUGGUCGGUAUACAGGUGGUGCAUGGCUGUCGUCAGCUCGUGUCGUGAGAUGUUGGUUAAGUCCCGCAACGAGCGCAACCCUAUCUUAUGUUGCCAGCACGUUAUGGUGGGGACUCGUAAGAGACUGCCGGGGUCGAACUCGGAGGAAGGUGGGGACGGACGUCAAGUCAUCAUGCCCCUUACUGUCCAGGGCUUCACACAUGCUACAAUGGCCAGUACAGAGGGCUGCGAGACCGUGAGGUGGAGCGAAUCCCUUAAAGCUGGUCUCAGUUCGGAUCGGGGUCUGCAACUCGACCCCGUGAAGUCGGAGUCGCUAGUAAUCGCAGAUCAGCAACGCUGCGGUGAAUACGUUCCCGGGCCUU